GAAUCUUCCACAAUGGGCGAAAGCCUGAUGGAGCAACGCCGCGUGAGUGAAGAAGNUUNNCGGAUNGNAAAACUCUGUUGUAANNNNNGAACAAGUACAGUAGUAACUGGCUGUACCUUGACGGUACCUUAUUAGAAAGCCACGGCUAACUCCGUCACAGCAGCCGCGGUAACACGUAGGUGGCAAGCGUUGUCCGGAAUUAUUGGGCGUAAAGCGAGCGCAGGCGGACCUUUAAAUCUGAUGUGAAAGCCCACGGCUCAACCGUGGAGGGUCAUUGGAAACUGGGGGACUUGAGUGCAGAAGAGGAAAGUGGAAUUCCAAGUGUAGCGGUGAAAUGCGUAGAGAUUUGGAGGAACACCAGUGGCGAAGGCGACUUUCUGGUCUGUAACUGACGCUGAGGCGCGAAAGCGUGGGGAGCAAACA
rnacentral:rRNA from 1 species